AUGAGGCCACACUGCCUGGGUAUCUGCAGGGACACUGGUCAUAAGCCUCACUCUGCAAAAUGUUAUCUUCUAAAGUAUUGGUGUCUGCUCAGGGUUUGGAAAACAGUGAUCGGAUUCUUCAGUUGCUUAAAAAUUUGGUAUAAUUCCUCUACGGAGAGAGGAACCAAAGCAGCCGUCUGCAAAAUAUCAUCUACCAGCCUCAGACAUGCCUGGGAAGCCCAUGUGGGUUAUUCUGCAAAUGGAUCACUUGAAGAGACUGGGAAGAAACUGGCCAGCAGAGGUGAUCCAGGGAAGCACCAUUUCUUCCACGAGAGGGAAACCUCGUCAGUCUACUGUCGUGUUGCUGCAAGACUGAAGUCCAGGUUAAUUCCCCACACGGCAUGCGCACCCCAAGCUGAGUCCUUGUGCAAAGGAAACUCUAACACACACUGCUUAUUUGCUCCAGGGAACCUUCCUGAUGGACAGUGAACAUCUCUGUGGUGCAUUUGGUUAAAUCUGUGACAGGCAUAUGACAGUGAAUUUAGGCACGUUGGGUUGGAUCUGUGGUGGUGCCACCCAUAUGGUCCACGGAUCUGUGGUGGUGCCACCCAUAUGGUCCACAUUCCCUGCCUGCUGUGCUGGGUCUCAGCCCAUUGCUUACCAGCUUUCAGCUUUACUGGUCUCACUGGGACUCCCAGCUGGGGCUCAUCAGGCACAGACUUCAGGUGGAAUCACCUUCAUCUGAAUUUCAAAGUUGGUUUUAGGCUCUCUCUGUCAUCUGUGGUGUCAAAGGAACACUCUGAGGGGGUAUUUUUCCCACUGAAAGGUAAACAUCAAAGCUAAAUAGGAAGAAAAGUUUCCUGCGGGUUCCUAUUUUCCCCCUAAUGAUUAUAAAGAAUGCACAGAAAAGCAGCUGGUGAUGAAUUUUACAUACCUGAAUUUAAGUAGGGUGAGACCUAUCUCCGUCUCUUAGCCCUUCAUUGAAGCAGAGGCCACAAACCUAUCACAGCUCCCAGGUAGCACAUCUUGAUCAUUUAAAUGCACCAAGAGCUAUCUCAGAAAGGUGGGGAGUCUGCGGAGCCACACUGUACAUUCGUAGGAACACAUUGCAAGCCCAGCACUUCUACAUCAUUAUAGGCAGAUUUCGUCCUGGGUUUCUGAAUAGCCCUACUUUUCCUCUCAAAGAUUAAAAAAAGAGGGAUUUACAUUGUUUAGAAAACAAUAACCCAAUAACCUUCAUGAAUGCUGUCGUAUUUCCACCAUCUCACCUACUGGAGGCCAGCAGAAACAACAGUCCCAGAUUAGAGCAGUUCCUGUCAUUCUGGCCUUCCCUCUCUGCUUCUCCCCAGCCAGUUACCACAGACCCUUCCUUCCCGCUUCCCCCACGGAAGUUCACAUCUGAAAAGCUAGUUUGCACCAGGCAGUAAACAGCUUUUCUGCCAUUGUUUUAAAACCACAGAGGUUCAGCAAUCCUCAGUGGCUGGUUCCAUGCCAACACAUUUUCCCCUCUCCUAGAAAUCUAGCUCAAAAUGGAGGCUAAAAAAAUGCCGAAGGCCUCCCCCCAUUUACAUUUACAGAGUGACAUUUGUGGUGAAGUUUGUAGACUACAAGGUAAUUUCUAGCAGCUGAGGGACCAGAGGGAGCUGCCCAGAACCCCCAGGAGAAAGGUGAGCUGGGGGGGAUUGACAUCACAUCACAGUGCUUGUUGUCUUCUGAGGGCAACAUAGACUAUUAAAUCCCGGCUUUAAUACAGUCAUCUGAAAACCUGGAGAAAAGUAUUUUUUUCUUUAAGAAAUUAUAUAUCUUUAGUCAGAUAAAAAUUGAAUUUCACACAUGUAUAUUGAAUAUUCCUUCAGUUUAAAGGAUCUGUGAAUGAAUAGGCUGCACAGGAGGAUGUGCAGAGAAAGCUUUACCCUAAGAACUUGUCAGAGGAUCACCAAAAUAGGGAAGAGUUCUAGUUUUAAGAAAAGCAUUAAAAUAACAAUACAGCUGUGCAGUCUGUUUUACCAUGCAUUUCUCAUAUAUUCUAAGUCCUUGUCUUCAAAGCUUUCAAAGCCAUCUAUGGCAUACCAUGUUAAAUACUGACUAUAUAUAUUAUAUAUAAUACAUAUAUAUAUGUAUGUAUAUAUAUAUUAAUUAUGAAUAAUAUAUAUACAAUGGCCAUUUAGUUCCUGGCACAAGAAUUUGGGUAUGGGGUCUUAAAUGAAUGACAGUUAUAAAUCAAAAUCCUUAAAACAACUACAUUCAUAUUUCAAAGACAUUUUAUAAUCUGAAUCUGAGUUCGGAUCCGAACUAUACCAUCAAAAUUUCAGACUGGACUUCCUACAAUUCCCAUUGUAAAUGCCACAUACACUUUGGAAUAUAUUGUGAUUUAGAUCAGCAACUAGAAAGCAAAGCAAAAGGUAUUUUUCAAAAAACUGACAUAGACAAAUAGAUAUUUUUAUAUGUAGAGAUAAAUCCUUUUAUCCUAUUGUGCAAUAUUUGAUUUAUAUAACAACCAAAAGGCUAUUUUACAUCAUAAAAGAAGGCUAAAAAGGCAAAACUAACCAGAGCUGACCAUAGCUGGAAAACAGGAAAGCCACUGGGGAAAGAGAAAAAAGGAAUUCUAGUUAUUUCACAUAACAGAUGGCAGCAUAACAGAAAGCAGCUGAUGUUGGUAGCCUAAGGGAAUUUUCCUGUGUCAGAAGAAAAAUAAAAUUUAGGAUAUACAGCA
rnacentral:lncRNA from 1 species